rnacentral:rRNA from 1 species
GACGAACGCUGGCGGCGUGCUUAACACAUGCAAGUCGAACGAGUGGCGGACGGGUGAGUAAUGUCUGGGAAACUGCCUGAUGGAGGGGGAUAACUACUGGAAACGGUAGCUAAUACCGCAUACCAUCGGAUUUGCCCAGAUGGGAUUAGCUAGUAGGUGGGGUAAAGGCUCACCUAGGCGACGAUCCCUAGCUGGUCUGAGAGGAUGACCGGCCAAACUGGAACGGGGACACGGUCCAGACUCCUACGGAAGGAAGCAUUGGGGAAUAUUGGACAAGGGGCGCAAGCCUGAUGCGGCCAGGCCGCGUGUAUGAAGAAGGCCUUCGGGUUGUAAAGUACUUUCAGCGGGGAGGCGUUACCCGCAGAAGAAGCACCGGCUAACUCCGUGCCAGCAGCCGCGGUAAUAC